UCCCAUUGGCCUGGCCAGCUGCCAUCUCACUCUGGGGUGCAGCACAGCUCUGCCAACAGGCUUCUUGUCUUUGUUGAUUGAUCAGCUUUAUCACAAGCCGGUUGGAGUGGAAAUCCAGGUAGGUGGUUCCAGGAGGACGUCAGGAGGAGCUGUGAGGAGAUUCACGGGAGGAGUUCUGAGAGAGUUCUCCAAACAGAAGGAGGGAACGAGGAAGCAGACCAGUGGAGUCCAGAAAAGCAGAAAAUUGGCAAAGAAAUGAAACUUUUUGUGGGGGACAUACAGUGUCUUUCACGUUUGCUGAAUCCUGGGGUAAACUGGGGUUGUCAGUUUAUGUAGAUGGACUUGUCUUGGUAGGUUUGCAUUUGUGCUUUCUAUAUUUUGAAAAUGGAUUAAACAUUGAUCCAUGACUUCUCCAUAUCUUUAUCCCUGAGCUCUCUGCUGUGUUCCAUGGUCUUUAUGAAGCUUUUUGUUUAUCAGUGUUCUCUAACAACCACUAAGGCCAUCACAGAGCAGAUUUGUUUUAAUGAAGUUCUGUUUCAACAAAUCUUAUUUUUCUGUUAGGCAAUAAUAGCAAUAGAGUCUGGAAUUAUAGGAUUUUUCCUUUUGAUUCCAGGAUCUAUUAAACGGUUUAAAUUUUACCUUAUGUGUGUCUGUAAUUGUACUUUGAGUUCACUGUCAUGUGCAAUACACAAUAGUCCUAUAUGACUACAGUGAAGAGACAGAUUAUGGAUCAUAGUUGGAUAGUGAGAGGAUCUGCCAUUUUGGGUUUUUUGUUAGUUUAUUACUUUCUAGAUUAUUGUGUUCAUGUGUUGGUUAAUAUUCCUUUUAGGUCAGAGUUUCCCCAGGUGUUAUUUAGUCUAGUUUUUGCUCAGUUCUUCUUGUCCCUGCUUUCCUCCUUCUCAUUAGUUUAACCUGACACAUUCCCUCAGCCUCCCUGCAGCCUGGUCCACACCUGUUACAUGUUUCCUCUGAUUACCUGCCUCCCUGUCUCAUUGGUCUACACUCCACUUCCCUCAGUUUGUAAGCUCUCUAGAUUUCAUUGUUCCCUGCUGGUUCCUCCUGUAAACUUCCUUGUGAACUCCCCUGUAUUCUUCCCGAGUUCCUCCUAGUGCUUUGUUUUCUGUUUUGCCUCUUGUACCGGUUUGCCUUUGAAUGACCUGCCUGUACUCUGCCUGCAUGCCCCUAAGUCCGUGUGUAUCUACAACAUUAAACUUCAUCUUAAAAAUUC